rnacentral:rRNA from 1 species
UACGAAGGGUGCAAGCGUUACUCGGAAUUACUGGGCGUAAAGCGUGCGUAGGUGGUUUGUUAAGUCUGCUGUGAAAUCCCCGGGCUCAACCUGGGAAUGGCAGUGGAUACUGGCAAGCUAGAGUGCGGUAGAGGGUAGUGGAAUUCCCGGUGUAGCGGUGAAAUGCGUAGAGAUCGGGAGGAACACCAGUGGCGAAGGCGGCUACCUGGACCAGCACUGACGUUCAGGCACGAAAGCGUGGGGAGCAAACAGG